UGUUCGUUGUCGUUCAUUUAGAUUUAUAGAAGUGCAUUGGCUUCAAUGAACUCUUUAAACUGCUCGCGCGUCUCCUCUUCCAGAGAGAAGGAGGAGGAGGAGGGGAGGAUCCUUCGAGGGAGCGAAGACUCAAAAUAGAAUAAUAGAAAACACAAUAUCGACGCGAUUCCGUUCCGUUCCGUUCCGUUCCGUUUCGUUCCGUUCCGUUUUCGUUUCGUUCCGUUUCGUCGAUAAGAAACGACACUUGUUUAAACUAUCGAGCAACGAGGUAAUGAGAAUUUAGCUUCGCCGUCCGAAGACGCGAGGGAGAAAUACAGAGUGGCCGUGUUUGCUUUAGCGAACUGCUUUGAUCUAAAUAGGGACGAAGUUGGAAAGUAGCUCGCUUUAACCUCAUCCUUUCUGGUAAAUAUUAAUUUAUGGAAAACUGAAGCCUGGGACUGGGAUGGAAAACAAAAGACGCUUGGUGUCUCGUUAAAAUUUAUUUCCAGACAAUUCUCUUGCCUCUCUUUUUCUUUUUCUCUCCGCUCGCUGAGCUUAAUUUUCGAUUUUAUUUUUUUUUCUUGUAUCUAGAAAAAUAAAUAAAGAAGCUCCUAUUGUCUAAUGAUCGAAAGAAUAUUGUUCUUUCGUUUGGAAGGAGGAAAUAUUAUUGAAGAAACUCGAAGAAGAUUGAUAAGUAAUUUAAUCUAAUCGUAUCUAAUGCUCAUAAAAUAGAGUCAAUAUCAGAAUUAAAAGGUUCUUCUUCGCUUCGAAAUGAUAACAGGAUUGCACUUUGUGUAUUGAAAUAUAUAUAAUACGCAAUAGCUAAUGUGUAAAAAUAUGGAAGAAAAUCGAAAUAUUCGUACAUCGAUCGCAUAAAUAUUAAGAACGGAAACAAGUAAAUUAGAUUAGUGACAAAUAAAUUAGCGUAGGUAGGCAUGAUCAAUUCAUCAGGAGAUUCAGUAUAUUUCGAUAAAUUGUCGGACAGUCCCAGGUAGGAUAUAUAUAUAUAUAUAUAUGUAUAUAUAUAUUGUGAAAUUGCUUUGACACAUUUCCUACCGUUUGCCUGAAGCUUGUUGUGUGCGAACGAGAAUCGAUAAAUUAACCGGUAGAUAAUGCACACAACCGGAUGGAACGUAUACAUGCUUGUACGUCGUUCGUAAACUCCAUUCGUUGCUUCCGGCUAAUAACUCGUCUAAUUAAUUAAUUUUAAUUUGGCACUGUAAUUUCGUAUACCAGCUUUUUCUCGUGUACAAAUUUCUAUAUAUACAUUCGAAUCGCGAUCAAUUACCAAAUUAAACACAAACUUCUUCUCCGAUGAAGAAUUAAUUAUUUUCUAAAAUAAAAUCAAAGAUCCUACUAAACGAAACAUUUGGAAACAUGGAAGAACCCCGUUCUUGAUGAAAAAUACUUUUCUCCUUAAAUUUUUCCUUUCGCUUCAACGAUAUUAUACGAUAUCUCUUACGAACUUCAAUGUCGCAUAUUUGCAUGCAGUUAAUUAGAAUUUGCACACCGAUGACGCGCUUGUGCAAAAAAGAUAAAUCAUGGAAUUUCAAACGGUUGACAGGCCGCGUUGAAAACUUCUUAUGAAAGGCACACCGCGACGUUAUUAAUUCACCAAAGACAAAUUACUCGUGUCUCCACGAGAAGAGACGGGACCCCCUCUGUUAAGUUUGCUGUCGGCGCGUUUGUAUCACGAUACGACCAACAGUUUGCAGCUAGGUUAUAACAAGACUUAUAAUUACCUGAAUGCCACGCUUCGCUACACAUCAUUGCUAUACAUACGUCGCGCACAAUAGUCGAUUAAAUAUUAUCGAAUCGAGACCUCCAAAGAAGAUAUUAACACAUACCAAAAAAACUGAAAAACUAGCUGCUUUCUGCUCAAUGAUGAUCAUAUAAGAAAGUGAGACAGUUUUUAUUAAAUUUAAAUUGAGACCUCCAAAGAAUAUAUUAAUACCUUGUAUACCACCAGCAAAGAUACUCAUGUGAGAAACCAAGAAAGUGAGACAGUUUAAAUUGUUUGUAACUUAAUAAAUAAGCCUUAUAAAUAAAAUCUUUACUGAAAUUUGUAUAUAAUCUUUUGUUUGUUUCAAUCUCUAAAAUCGAGACCUCCAAAGAAGAUAUUAACACCUUGUACAUACCAGAAAAACUGAAAAACUAGCUGCUUUCUACCCAAUGAUGAUCAUAUAAGAAAAAUCGAGGUCUCCAAAGAAUAUAUUAAAAGCCUGUGUACCAUCAGCAGAGAAACUCAUGUGAGAAACCGGCUGCUUUCUGCCCAAUUAUUUUCGUAUCUCUGCCAGCCAUGACCACCAUCCGUCCGUAUCCCCGUGGCCACGGUCCUUGCGGCUGUCGUGGACCGCACGUGUCCCCUGUAUCCAUCCUUUAACCGCCUUUCACUUGGAUAUCACAUUCAGGAAAUGGAAAUACCAUAAUGGCCGCUGAAAUGCAGCCUCGGAAAAUUUCUACGGUUAUACGUGCCUCGUAUCUGUACCCUAAUGCUCUCCCUGAAACACUCGGACUGUGAAAGAAAAUUGAAAAGUCUGUAACCUCGUCCGAUACGUAACGGGUGAGACGAGCGAUUCGAAAUUGGAUUUAGUCUCCUGAAGAGAAGCGAAUUUACAAAUUCUUUUGUCAAUUUUAUUAUUAUUUGCUUAAAAAUCAUCAAACGGACUAAUAAGUCGGUUCAAUUUUCUUGAAAUCUUGGAACAACGGUUUAAGAUUUAACGAUAUUUGUAUAUUGAAAUAUAAUUGAGACAUGAUUUAGAGAUCAGAGAGUGUUAAAAUAAAUUUGUAGCAAUGUCUUUCCUCGAAUUGUAAUAUUUAAACAGCACUUGUAACUAUCUCUGCUAAUAACGAAAAUGAGUAUCGUGAAAAUUUUAUUUUACCAGGGAAAUGGCAUCAAAUCCGAGAGAAUCACUUGAAGACUUAGAAGAGAAAAUAUUUCAAGAAUUGAUUCGAAGAAUCGACAAUCUAGAGAAAAUGGAAGCAAAUGGAGUUUGGCAUUCGAAGAGAUUUCGCGAGGAACGGAGGACAAUGGUUUGCGAAUGUAUUGUGCGGUUUGGAAGAGAAAAGAAAAAUUCGUGAAAAUUGAAUUUUAAAAUUCAUGAUUAAGAGAAAAAAGUUUGUUUGUGAAGAGAGUAGUACUUCGUGCAUUUAUAUAAAAAUAUAUUCUCAAAAGAAAAAUCGAUUUUAUUCACCACGAUCAGAGAAAAAUAAAAAAGAUUGCAUUUCGAUAUCCAAAAUAUUAUCCGACUUCACAUUCUACGUACUUCAACUACCGAUUUUCUAAAAAUUAACUCACACGUUCACGCAGAAUUAUUCAUCAAUAUUCACCACUAUACAGUGUAUAUAAAUUCUCAAAAAGGGAGAACAAAAA